AUUGAACGCUGGCGGCAUGCCUUACACAUGCAAGUCGAACGGCAGCACGGGAGCUUGCUCCUGGUGGCGAGUGACGAACGGGUGAGUAAUACAUCGGAACGUACCCAGUAGUGGGGGAUAGCGCACCGAAAGGUGCGCUAAUACCGCAUACGACCUACGGGUGAAAGCGGGGGACCGUAAGGCCUCGCGCUAUUGGAGCGGCCGAUGUCUGAUUAGCUAGUUGGCGGGGUAAAAGCCCACCAAGGCGACGAUCAGCAGCUGGUCUGAGAGGACGAUCAGCCACACUGGGACUGAGACACGGCCCAGACUCCUACGGGAGGCAGCAGUGGGGAAUUUUGGACAAUGGGGGCAACCCUGAUCCAGCAAUGCCGCGUGUGCGAAGAAGGCCUUCGGGUUGUAAAGCACUUUUGUCAGGGAAGAAAUCUUUCAGGCUAAUACCCUUGGAAGGAUGACGGUACCAGAAGAAUAAGCACCGGCUAACUACGUGCCAGCAGCCGCCGUAA
rnacentral:rRNA from 1 species